rnacentral:rRNA from 1 species
CCUAGUAAAAAAGCUAGAAUUACAACAUAAGACCAGAAGACCCUGUGAAGCUUAAAUAAAACUAUUAAACCAUAUAAUAGCUACUUUCGGUUGGGGCGACCUUGGAAAAAAAAAGAACUUCCAAAUAAAAUGAAUAUACCUCAUUAUCUAAACAGGCCAACAAGCCAAAAAUGACCCAGCACAGCUGAUAAUUGAACCAAGUUACUCCAGGGAUAACAGCGCAAUCUUCUUCAAGAGCCCAUAUCAAAAAGAAGGUUUACGACCUCGAUGUUGGAUCAGGACAUCCUAAUGGUGCAGCCGCUAUUAAGGGUUCGUUUGUUCAACGAUUAAUA